UGGCUAUGAUUCAAAACUAUCCGCGCUUCUGAGAGUAAUCAAUGAAGCAUAAAAUCACAAUGGUUGAAUUUCUUGAUAUGAGCCA